rfam:Xanthomonas campestris pv. campestris complete genome, strain B100
AGUUUUCCCUAUCGCGGGGACGGCGGAGUCAGUGCCGUCGCUCCUCGCGGUAGUUCUAUCGAAAGCCAGGAGGGCGGGCGCCACGGACGGCGCAUU